AAAGGUAAGUCCAGUCCCCACUUGGGUAGAAGAAUAUAGGGAGCAGAUUCUGCAGGCUCCCUGUUCUAUAGUCAGGCAGCUAAUCUCUGGGUUCCAGGGGGUAAUCUCAAAGGAACUGAGGGCAGGAGAAAAGCUAGAAAGCCGAUGGGACCAAAACUCAAAAAGGUAUGAAGGUUAACAAUAGGUAGAUGGGAGUCAGAUUCUGGAGGACUUCAAGUGGCAGGCUGAGAAGUUUGUAUUUUAUUGGAGAGGCAGUAGGGAGUCACUGAAGAUGCUUCAGUCAGAGAGUGGCCCGGCGUUAUGUGUGUUUUAGGAAUAACCUAGCUUAGUGGCUUAGUGGAGAAUGGAUUGGAAAGAUGGGAAACGAGAAACCAGAAGACCAGUGAAGAGAUUAUUCCUCUAGGAUGGAAGAAAUAUCGAAGAUCUUCAACAUCCCCAAAUAUCCAAUGGCCAAGAAAUGUUGAGUGAAAAGAGACUGAUAUUAAGGAAGGAGAAUUACCAAGAAUUGGAAGGUAUGGUGGAUGGAGAGCUGUCUUCAGAGCAAGGAAGAUGUCGGUUCAAGUCCUGACUGUGGCUGUGUGAUCCUGGCCAAGUGACACCUCACUGAGCCACUGGCAACUCUCAAUUCCAGUGGUAGUCCAUCUGGGUGAGGUGCUGGUUUUCCAUGGGCUGAAUAAGAGGGAAAGAAGGAAGUAUGCAAAGGGGACGUGCCUGCUUGGCCAAAUAAGGAGAUACAUGAAUAGGAUGCCAAAGGCAAAAAACAUGGCACUGGGAACCAUCAUGGUGGCAUGGGAAAGGUGCACAGUGGAAGCUACAGAACUUGGCUUCCAUUCCUGGUUCUGCCUGGGUGACUUUGGGCAAAUCUCGUCAUCUCUGUAGAAGUGUUUCCUCUUCCAAAAUGAAGCAGUUGGACUGGAUGGCCUUCCAGCUUUAGAAUGACUAUAUUUUUCUAAAUAAGUUGCUCAUCUGCAUCUGUGAAGAGCUUCCACUCUCAGAAUUCCCAUGACAGACGAAAUCAGAUGUGGAAGAAAAAAAUACCCCAGUAGAGUUAUGAAUAAGAAAGCCUGGAUGGAUUGGAAUCUGAACCCCUGGGCAGGGACACCCAUACCUGGGGUCAUGAAAGAGAGUGACUCGGAAUAGAUUAGAACCACUUUCUUGGCUGAAUCGGUUUACCAAGGAAGUUGCUCGUCCUUCUGAAAUGGAUAGGACACAUUCUUUCCUGACUUUACCCGGUAAAAAAAUGCCCCCAGUGAGACACAAGCUGUCUCCAUACAAUGCCAAAGCAGGCAGUAUGUUAGGCCAGUUCUGUUAAACCACCAGUCAAUUCAGUGAGAAAAAAAAAUAUAGAGAGAAGUCAUUUCUGACAUUUUAUCUCCCAUCUUUCUUCCUACCUGUACCCACCCCUUUCCCCCACUUCAUUGACUAUGUAUCUAACUUUUCAACUUUUGAUACUGGUAUCAGAUAUAUCCAAUCACAGAUAAAGAGAGAAACAGAGUGAAUCAAGAAGUCCUGGUUUGGAUUCUGCUUCAGAUGAUCUGUGUGACCUUGGGCGAGUCAUUUAAACACAGCUGGGCCUCAGUUUUCCUAUCUAUAAAAAGGGGGAAGUUGAACCUGGAUUUAAGAUCUACUUAGCCAUUGAACCCAUUUAAACAUAGAUGGGCCUUUGCUUUCCUAUUUGUAAAAAAGGGACAAUUGAACCUGGCUCUAACUAGCCUGGACAAGUCACUUAACCUUUCCAAACCUCAGUUUCCUCACUUGUAAAAUGGGGAUAAUAAUAGAACCUCCCUCAUAGGGUUGUCAUGAGGAUAAAGGGAGCUAAUGCCAGGGCUUGGCAAACCUUCAUGUGCUAUAUACAUGUGAGCGAUGAUUAUAAAGCUGUGAUUUCAGUUUGUACAACACUUGGAAGGUGGCAUCUGGCAUCAGAGCUGCCCACUGCAUUCUUCUGCCCAUGAUCAUCAAAGGCCUCUCAGAAGAAGUACAGGUCUGGCGUUCCAGAAAACGGUGGACCCACCGUCGCCAACAGCUCUCCCACAAAUAGACCCAUAGGCUGCAUCGUCCUGGAGAAGGGCCAGCUCGGAGACCAUCCAGCGAUGGGGCGCGUGUUCUUCUUUCCUUGGACCAGAAAAUCAUUUUCCCUGGCUCGGGUGUUCUAAGACACUCACACCUGGGCCCGCUGUAUUUGGAGUUAUUGUGCACUAACCAAUGAGAAACAGUAUUGUUUCAGCUCCUGCCAGUGCCAAAAGAGACCUCCAUAAAUCCCUUGGCUUUGACUUCAACCUUGCCUGCAGGAGCUCCAGUCAAGGCAGGCACGCCUCAGCUUGCAUCUCCCUGUCCUGGCCAAGUCCAUUAUUAUCAUUGGGCAACACACUUAUUGGCACUGCCGUUUCCAGAGGUUUCUGUGUUUUGGCCAUCCUUGGGAAGCUGUUUGGAUUGUAGAAAGGAUACCGUAGCAGCAUCCAAGACUCAACCUACACAACAUAUGGAAGACAAACUCUACCGGCUCAUGGGUCUGUGCCAGCCGACAUUGACUAUUUCCAAGUGCCUUAUUUUUAAGCUGUUUUUUUUCCUCUUGCCCCUCUUAACAUGACCACCCCAGCCCUGGGGGAACAUCAUCACACCUUACCUACCCUCCCUCCAAAAAGUAGCAAACACCAGUUUCACCAGAGCGUGUCUUAAAAACAAUUAAAAUCCAUCUUGUUUGAAAGAUUUUCUGAUGUCUCAAUAAACAGUUGAAGAUGGAGCUACUUCUGGGCAAAAUGUCGAAAUGGGAAAAAUCUGUUUGCCGUCUUCCUGCCCUUCUCCAUUCUUCAUUUGCACUUUCUCCCUGCCUUUUUCUCUCUCUAGGUCCUUCUACCAUGGGGGAUCCCCAAAAGAUGUCCUUCCGCAAUGACCUCUCUUCUUCCACAGCCAAGAAUAAUAAGCGAUAUGUUAAAUGUGAAGUCAGCAGAGUCCUUGAACACACUUCUUCAUCUCUUUUGGACCUUAUUUUUCUCAUCCACAAAAUGUGGGGAUUGGACCUGAUGAAGUCUAAAGUUUCUUUCAGCUCUAAAUUGGCUGUCCUAUGAAGCCCUUUGUGUGCCAUUUUCCUUGUUCGUAAACAGAGCUGAUUUCACCAGUGGUGCCUACCUUACAGGGCUACAAUAAACAUCAAAUGAGAUGAUCAGAAAAGAUUCAAAGAGCUAGUUCAGAAGCCAUAUUUCUCCCUGCCACUCCUGCCAUUUUAGAGAAAAAGAAACUGACCCAUUAAAGGGAAGUGUCUUAACCAGAAUCAUACAAAGGAUCAUAAAUAUAGACCCAGAAGGGACCUCAGAAAUGAUCCAAUCCAACCACUAUUUUGCAAAUGAGGCAACUAAAGUCCAUAAAGUUUUAAUGACUUGUGAAAUAAUUAAAUACCAGAGGUAGGAUUCGAACCCAGAAUCUCUAACUCUAGAACCAGGGCCCUUUCCUCUAUACAAUACUGCAAUAUAGGUAGGGCACUCUAAAAACCCAAGAGCUUUGUGUAGAUAACAUUUUCAUCAAGGUCCUUCCAAUUCAUAAUCCAAGAGCCUAUAAGACUGACCUCCUUUGAGAAUCGUUGGUCAGAAUAUGUUGGUUUGACCUCACUCUGCCUUUUGCUAGGUGACUGUGGCCAAGUCAUUUCAACUGUCUGAGCCUGUUUCAUCAUCUGUAAUCCAGGACUAGUUCUAUUUGAAGUGAACACUACACCAGGUUGUUUUAAGGAUCACACAAGACACUAUGGCAAAGCACUUUGUAAACCUGAAAGUACUAAAUGAAUGUAAUUCAUUGCUUGGGUUAUGUUUGGGGCCUUAAGAGAGGACUAGAAAAGCUCAAGAAGCAUCUAGAUGGUUCUGUGGAGAGAGCGCUAGGUCUCGAGUCAGAAACACCUGAGUUCAAAUCCAUCCUCAGAAACUUACUAGCUGUGUGACCCUGGGCAAGUCACUUAACCCUGUUGGCCUCAGUUUCCUCAUCUGUCAAAUGAGCUGGAGAAGGAAAUGGCAAAUCCCAGAGUCAGACACAACUGAACAACAACAGAAAGACUCAGUUCUUUAGUUAGUGUCCUGAUUUGAGGAAAGGUGACAAUGGCUUUGUGGUAUACUCACUCGAGGUAAAUUUGAUUUCAGUGGGGGUCUUUGGUACCUCAACCCAAAGGGGCUAAUCAAAGACAAGAAUUUCAGGUGUGUUCUAGAAUCCAGACAUUCAUUGGCAGGCUCUGCCUUUCAAUGCCUUUUAAAUCAAACCAUGUAGGGAAAUGCCUGCUCCUCUGCCAUGUGAGGCUGGCCCUGGCUGGAGAUACCCUGGUGCGUCAUCCAACAAGGGCUGGGAAUAUCCUCGGUAGAUGUUUUCCUGCUGAGACAUUUUCCACAGAGCCUUGCUUAAGUCCAAGACGCUUCUAAAGAAAGAAUCCUAAGUAUGGAUGGGUCCUGUCUGUACUGGUUAUUAUUAAACCUCAGCAAGCAUGCAAGACGGCUCCCAGAAGUCCCCUAAAGCUGUCAUAUUUGCUUGGACACUCUCAAAACACCGGCAACUAUCAAGGCAUCGUUCUAAGGCUGGAUUCUCUGCUCUACCGACUAGAUCUAUAACCUUAGUUUAAGGCACUUCUUUCUGAACCUCAGUUUCCCCACUCAUAAAAUGAGGACAGUGUUGGAAAUUAUCUCCAAAGUCUCUUCUAGCUUUCAUUCUUUCAUCUUAGCAGGAAUAAAGAUCUGCCACUUAGCACACUACCAAGCACAGAAUAAGCACUUGGCUCGUUGACCUGUUGGCUUCACCCUUGAGAAACUUUGGUCUUGACCCUUUGGGGAGGAACAUUUUCAGGCUCCUUAUCUCAUUGUAGAAUCCAUCCAUCACCAAGGAAUCAUUAUUAGAUGCCAGACUCUGUCUCAGGAUCUAGGGAUACCAAUGGGCAAAUCAAAGAGGGAGACUGACCCUGCCUUCAAAGACCUCACACUCUACUAGAUACCCCCAAAUGAACAUAAUAGCAUCUAUUCCCUGAGCCAGUUUGGAAAAGGAUUUGGACCCCAAACCCAUGGAAUCUUCCCUAGAGUCCCCAUCCCCUACUCCCUAGAGAUAGUUUUGUUUAAACUAAGUAACACUAGUCAUGCUCUGUACUGAAUUCUGUUGGUGGCACAAUAAAGA